AUGGGACGGAGAUGCCCAAGGGUGAAGCCAAGGUUUUUCCAUUCCAGACACUCCAGCUCCUUGUUUAUCCUCCUGGCCAGGAAACGUGGCCUUUCCCAGUGCCUUUUUUUUAUUUUUCCCACAGCUGGGGCUCAGGACAUACACCCCCUGCCCCCCCCACCCCAGCUAGGGAAAGCACAGCGCCCUGGCACGGGGCCACCGAGCCCUGCGGGGACCGCGGCGGGGGGCGCAGGGGGGAAGGAUGCCAGAAGCAGCCCAAGGCACCACGGUUUAAUACCCGCAAGGAGGUGGGGGGGUAAGGGGGGGCCGCGCCCCGGCGCCCCGUCACUUGCCGACGCAGAAAUCCCUGAAGAUGAUGUCGAGGACGUCCUCGGCGCCCACGUGCCCGGUGAUGCGCCCCAGGUGCCGCCGCGCCAGCCGCAGCUGCUCGGCCGCCAGCCCCAGGUCCCGCGCGCGGUGCCGGCCGUAGCGCGCCAGCGCGGCCGCGCAGUCCCCCAGGUGCUGGCUGUGCCGGCUCUGCGUCAGGCUGGGCGAGCCGGCCAGGGGGUCUCCGCACCUGGGGAGGGGGCAAGAAACACCCUGGAGCACCCCCUCCUCAAGCUGCCCAUACAGGGAUGGGGUAAGCGGUGUCCCCCGAGCGUCCCCCCCUCCCAAAAAAAAAAACAACAACCCGUGCGCUUACAGCUGUGCCAACUGCUGCCCCAGCAGCUCCAGCAGGCGGUCGAUGCCGUCGCCCGUCUUGCAGGACAGAAGGGCGGCGGGGGGCACGGGGGGUCCCCGGGCGCAGGCGGCACGCAGAGCCCCCGUGUCCCCCCCCAGCAGGUCGGCCUUGUUGAGCACCAGGAUGCAGGGGGCGGCGGGGGGCACCAGGGACCCCACGGCAGCCCCCAGCCCCGCCGGCUCAGCGGGCACGGCCGUGGCAUCCAGCACGGCCAGCACCAGGUCUGCCCGCUGCAGCCUGCGGGGACGGGGCAGGGCUGGGCACGGGGCCGCAUCCUGCCACGUCCCAACCCUGCGGUUAAACGGGGGGGGGGGGUGCCCCCCGAUCCUGCCUGCACCCCCCGCUCUGAC
rnacentral:lncRNA from 1 species